UUGUGUGUGUGUCUUGUAUUCGAUCUGAACUACAGGGAAACAGAGUUCUUCAUCUAAACCCUAAAUUCACUCUAUACUCUCAAAAAAAUCAAAGAAGGAAUUCAAUUAGGAAUCAAUCCUAAGCUAAAAUCAUGGUCACCAACCUUAGGAGAUCACAAGGCAAUUUGGGUGGAUCGUCUAGUAAUCAAGGAGGAGCGGAUAAUCGGUUGAAAGGAAAGCUUUAAAGGUAAAGGGUAUGAACUUGCGGAUGACGAUCAAGCAUGGCUAAAGAACCGAACACAUGCUUAAAAGAAGCUUCCGCAAAUGAAAACUAUUACUUUUGUCACUAAACACUUUGGUGUUGUGUUAUCAAACUUUUGUAAAUAUGGUUUGCAUGUUUUGAAAGUUAAGUAUGUUUUGUUAUAACAAUAUGUUUUUGAAACCUUAGUAAACCUCGUUUAAAGGGUUGAACACUAUGUAAAUAUUGGUUAUCGAUGUUUUUGGAAUAUUGGCAUUAUAAAU